GAAAGCCGUGUGCAAUGAAAAAUGCAAGCACGGCUUGGGGAGGGAUUUUACUUAUUUAACAAAGAAAUUAUCUACUCCAU
rnacentral:ncRNA from 1 species